AGACGUCUACAUUAGACUACCCCGGUAGUCCCAGCCGUAAACUAUGCGCGUUAGGUGUAUCGGUGACCACGAGUCACCGAGGUGCCGAAGGGAAACCGUGAAACGUGCCGCCUGGGAAGUACGGUCGCAAGGCUGAAACUUAAAGGAAUUGGCGGGGGAACACCACAACGGGUGGAGCCUGCGGUUUAAUUGGACUCAACGCCGGGAAGCUCACCGGAUAAGACAGCGGAAUGAUUGCCGGGCUGAAGACUCUGCAUGACUAGCUG
rnacentral:rRNA from 1 species